CUGGGGGCGGAGCUUCGAGUCCCUUCCUGCUCCGCCCCUCGCGUCGCGGCCCCGCCCCCGCGGCCGCUGCGCGCCGGACGGGGCCAACCAGGGCGUCAGGGUCCUGGGGACGUCGCCUCAAGGCCGCGGUGGCGAUGAGCUCCGAGCUGGACACUGAGCGGCCCGAACGCGCAAGAUAAGCACGGACUGAACCAGGUACACGCACCUGCCGGGGACGCACUGACCGAGGUGCGGACGGCGGUACCAGGACAAGUAAAGCCGCGAACACUCGGACCUAAGAACUUGACAGGUACACCCUGCCUGAUGAAGCUACGGCCAGGUGCGCAUCGAGUGAAUCAGCUCCGGGCUAGUGGCAGAUGGCUCAGCCUCUAGAUGGAAGAGCCUGCUCCUAGGAGGCCUCGACACAUCAAAAGCAGAUUGGACUCCAGGCUUUAGCAGCUGAGAGAACCUCCCCAUUAUCCAUGUGUGCUGGGAGCGCUGGAGGAGGGCAGAGCUACACCUCUUCCUCUCUUAUGGGGCCUGUACUUUGUCUUUCCCAUCCUGAGAAGCUCUGGAAACUGAAGCCUGGCAGCUCCAUGGACUGGGGAACCUCUCACCACUGGAACCUGCAGAGAAGACCGCUGUGAGGAUAGGUGGAGGAGUCCUCCUCAGGUGGUUCUUGGCAGCGACUUCCUAACCCCGGCAGCUCAAGGAAGCAUUGAGACAGACACUUUGAGAGUCCCAUUAAAACAGAAUUAUCCACUGGAGUUGGAAACACUCGGAUGGUCAACUGGUUCGAUCUGCUUCUCAGCCUUCUCUAGGUGCAUCUUCAAACUGAACAUGUAGGCUUAUGUAGGUCUUGCAGUCAGAUGGACAUGGAUCAGAAUCCAAGGUCUAGUAUUAUUAGCUGCAUGAACCUGGGCUCAGCCCAGCCAAGAGUCAAAGAGAAUGCAUGGAGAUCGUCUAAGAGCCCAGGGGUCCCCCCAUCAGGAUGCAGGAAGGAAGGAUGAUGACUGAAACCAUGGAAGGUUCGAGAAAUCUGGUAAUUCUCAGGCUUAUCUACCCUCAUGGAGCAACAUAAAAGAUGACCAUAAAGGGUGCUGUGAGCUUGUCCUUGGGGAGAAAGGGACAGGAGGAGCUGGGGAGAUUGAGUCCUGACUGUUAGCUAUGAUCAGUGCUCAUAGGGUGCUGGUAGCUCCAGAAGGUGGAGGCAGCAGGAUGUGCCCUUGGGCUUUCAGGAAGGAAGAAUGAGCCCAGAGAAAGUUUUCUGGGUCUGAGAAGUGACUCCAGGGUUUUAAGCCUUAAGAUGUUGAGUCCAGAGGAAUGGGGGUGAGGUGUUUCUCUGCCUCCUACUCUCACCAUACCUCAUUGAAGAAGACUUCUGGCAGCUGAUCUCCUAUUUAUAUUGCCCAUCUCAGGCCCUGGGUCCAAAGGUUUUGCCAAAGGAGAAACAUCCCCUUUGUGUGCCUUCCUUCUUCUGUUUAAAAUGCUUUUGCUCAGCUCUGGGCUUGAGGAGGUAAAGUUGUAAAGUCGCAGUUUGUAAUCAGUAGCUCCACCUGCCUUUUGCAUCUCUCUCUGUAGGUUGUCUGAUUUCGCCUCACCCUUACCCCUCUGUCCUGGCAAUGUCAACUUUCCCUGGCCUUCUCCCCAAGACAAAACCUCUGAGAAGGGUUACAUUGUUGAGUUACACUCGGGUUACAUUGUUGAGUGAUUUUAACUCUCUUCUGUCUGACUCCAAAGCUCAUCUCAUGCUCUUUCAAUCACCCCAUGUGGUUUUCACAUAAAAAUUCUCAUCAUAGCACAAAUCUCUGAAAUAAAAAAACUGGAACUAACCUAAAUGUUCAACAAUUAGGGGGUUGUUUAGUAAAUCACGAUGUAUCCAUUUGUUAGAACAUUAUACAGACAUUAAAAGUGAUCAUUACAGAGACUGUAUAGCAACUUGGGGAAAGGUUUAUGAUAAGACACUAAGUGAAAAUACAAUGAAAAUACUACAAUUGCUUUGAUUGCAAUGAUGGAAAAUAUGUCAGUGUGUCAACAAGGGCUGAAAGAUAAUAGGCAGAGGUGAAAAAUAGCUGUGUUCUGGGUGGUGUUUUUUCUUUCCUUCUAAAAUGAUGUGCUUCUGUUUUAAUUCUUCUUGUGUAGUCGUUUUUCUUCCUGUGAGAUAAUUUUUCAGGGUUGAUGUAGAGCACACAAGAAUAUAUGAUGAGGCAAGGUCAAAAUCUGAGAAAUUUCCACCAUGGGGAACCCCCUAGUCUAGCGAUGCUGACUCCUUCAUGUUAAGGGGCUCCGGUUCAGACAUAGAACCUCCAUAUUGUGGUUAAGGGCAGAGGUUUUGUAGUCACAUGGACAUGGAUCAGAAUCCAAGGUCUAGUAUUACUAGCUACAUGAACCUGGGCUCAGCACAGAGCAAGCACUCCUGUGCAGAGUCAACACAACCAGACACGGGAGAUAAACUUCUCAAUACGUUUUGAAUAGAGAAUGUCCUACAAUCCCCUUCCUCCAUAAUUCAUCAUCAGUAUUGGGUGUUUCGAUUCUCCAACUCUCUAGUAAAGCAAGGCUUGUGAUUUUAUUUUUUGGCGAGGGGCUUGCUGGUGAGGGUAGGUGGGGCAUGUGUUACCUGUCACUGUCCAUGGUUCUGAACUGGCACUACAAACACGUAUAUGGCUGUUUCUCUGGGAAAUUGCAGGGCUGGCAUUUCCUCUGCCCCACCCUAUUUUUCCAUAGAAGUACAUUUAUGCUAACCACUUCAAUGUGGUCUUCAUCAGUGUGAGGUUAAAAAGCUUUUGAAUUCUUGGAACCUGGCAGGAAAGGGAAUUAGAAAAAAAUUGCAAGUUGUGGGGGCAGGAGUGGUAGAUGAUAUGUCAGCUCUUACUGAGUUAUGCCCUGGUUAAUGGCUGCAAGACAUAGCGUAUGGUGGGUAGAAAGUUUUAAGUCAUGACAGCCUUUGGGAGCAUUGGAACCAGGAGAGAAAAACUAUAAGACCAGCAGCUGGUACUGGUACUACUUCUUUAAUCUGCAGUUGUCACAGAGUCUUGGUGUAUUUUAUAAAGUGUGAAAAAGUGGCUUUGAUGAUCUGUUCCAUAGACUAUCUCCAAAAUGAUAGCAACCAGCAAAGACAACUCCAAUAGGAAGUAAUCUGUGACCACUCUGUCUCUGUCUCUGUCAUCUCCUUUCUCUAUUUAUCUCUGUCUUUCUCUGUGCUCAUGUAGUCUCUCUGCCCCUCCUCUCUCCUCUUCUUCCCAUCCCUCCCCGCUCUCCCUUCAAUCUACUUUUGCUUGUAAGAAAAACACUAUGUAAUUUUCUUUAAAAAUUAAUUCUACCCUACAAAAUAUGUCUAAAAUAUUCAAGAGGGGAAAAAGUUUCUUUAUUAGAACUGUUUCUUCCAGCAUAAUCGAGUUAAUGAGUACCUCCUUAUAAUUUAAUGCAAAGUAAUUUUCACACUGGCGGUGAGCUUCAAAGAUAGGUGAAUAGAUAACUAAUAGCAUGAUUCCCCCUGGAAACUAAGGUAAACUUCAGUCCUGAUUGGGCAAAAACAGUCAAGAAGAGGAUAGAAUUAACUACUAACAGCCACAUUUGUCACCAGUGCUCUUUGGAGCAACAAGAAGAGAAAAAAGGCAAUAACGAGUGUUGAAAGAGGGUGGGAUGGGUUGUGAACUUAAAGUUAGUUGCAGAAGGUUUUUCUGUUCAUUUUUUUGUUUGACUAUGAAAUUUGGUCUGAACUGAGCUGGAAAAACUACAAGGCAGGAGUGACAUCCAAUUUUAAUAAAAUCAGUGGCGAGCAAAAAUCAUUUUCAGUGUGUUUGAAGAGAGAGUCUGCUCAGUUCAUGGGCUGCUGGAGCAAGCCAUCACAUGGAGGUAAGUCUACUGCUGCUUAUUAGCUCUGAAAGCCAGAGACCAAGGUAAGAGCAAACCCAACCCAGGAAGACUGCUGACAUAGGAUGUAUUCAAAGAAAUCUGCAACCUAGUCAGUCUUUAAAACCUGUGGACAUUUCCUAUUUAAUGCCAUGUUAAUUUGUCCAUUUUCUGCAUUCCCAUUGCCUUCAUCCAAACCUUUAUCACAUCUCACCUGAACUAUUACAAUAUCUGCCUAUCUUGUUUCCACAUUGGCCAGAAGUGCUCUACCUACCACCCAAAUCUAGUCAUGCCAUUCCCUGCUUAAAUCUCUUCAAAGGGAUAGGAAUACUUAUCAUAACUCAGGGAUACGUGAUGCAAACUCUCUAGUAUUGAAUACAAGGCCCUUCAUGAUCUCACUCUGCUUCCCCUCACCAGCCAGCCACAUCGCUCACCUCUCCCCUCACUUACCCCACUAGGCACCCUAUUAUUAGACUUUCUGAACAACCUGCCAUUCCACUAAUUUGUGUGUCAUGCUCUCCCCCUUUUCUAGGUUAACGGCUUUGCCUGGAAAUUCUCUUCCCCUCUCCAAUCCUCUUCUGACUGACACAUGCCCUUCCAGAUCCUGGUAAGGCACUAUCCCUGCCUUCCCUGACCACUGUCACUAUCAAAGUCUUGGCCAAUCGCUCUUACUAUGUAUUUUCCAAAUACUCAACACAUAUCUCUAUUUUAAUGCCUAUUACCUUGCUUGACAAUGGUUUACUCCCGUAUCUCUCUGUCUUUACCAUAGUGGCUCCUAGAGGACAGAGACUGUGUCUUGGUUCUUGUGGCACCCAAGCUCUUAGCAUGGGGCCUGGCACAUUAUAGGCACUCAGCAAAUGUUUGUUAAUAAACAAGUGAAAUGAGAUAGCUAAGUAAAAAUGAAUUAUAGAUAAGGUUGAAAGUAAGAAGGGAAUAGACCUAUCCCAAGACAAUGCAUUUAUUUAAGUCUUUCUUCAAGUAGAAUUUUCUCCUAAUUUUAAUAUACAACUGGGGAGUUAAUGUCAUCAAUAUUUGUGAAAUUUCAUACUUUCAACAGGAAAAAAAUAGCACAUGUGCACAAACAGCAGCUAUAAGUGAAACAUGAAUGAUAAUAAGAUGAAGUGCUUUGGGAGAACAGAGAGGUGGGGUGAGAUAUUGCUAUUGUGCAUGAUGGCACGGAGUCAUGAGGACUCAUGUAGCAGUUAGGAAUUAUUUGCCCUGACUCUCUGCCUUUAUGUCACAUGGUGUCCAUCCUGCACCAGACUGGUGGCUAAAACACUGAAUUUCUGGAGACUCAGCCCUGGCCAUAAAGGUAGAAGAGGAUCUUAUUUUGUCCACUGCUGUCCACACUCCUUGUUUGCCCCAGUGUCUAGUUUCUGACCAUGCCAGUCUGGUCUUUUCUUCCUGGCUCCAUGCUGGCCUGGAAGAGACACUCUGUGCUUGUCUUCUUGGAAUCUCCUAGGAUUUAGGUUUAUCAAGCCCUCUCUACUGGAUGUAUUGGGGGACCCCUGAGAUCCUACAUGUGCAUCAAAUUGGCUCUCUGAAGCAGGGGAUAGGGAAGAAAGUGGGCCUUAAAAGACAGUGGGAGCUGAAUAGGCAGAAGUGGAGGAUGGGCAUAAAGUGUUUAAGGAGUGGGGCAGGAUGAGUAACACGUCAGUGGGAGAUUGCAGUAGAGUGCAUGACAAGGAGGGCAGUGCUGGGAGCAGAAGAAGAUGCCUGGGUGGAUGCUCACACUGAAGACACUGGAUGGGGGAAAUAGGAGUCAGCACGCAGGACAGGGAAGCUACAGGAGAAUCUGAAAGAACACCAUAAUGAGGGUCAAACAAGAAACCAAACCAAUGCCAACCCAACUCAGGGUCAGAGCCCAAGAAGAGGUUACAGACAGACUUCAAACCAAGUUCUUCCUGCAGGUUCAGAGCUUGGUGCAUGGCCAGGGUCAGGGACUGGGGGCCAUAACAUGCUAAUCUUCAUAGGCUAUUUUAGUGCUUUGACAGGGACAACGAAGAGAGAAACACCGAGGGAUGAGUGGUUGCCCAUAGGUUGGGUGGUUGUUCUGGGAGUCCUGAGACUGCCUCUGCAGGUGCAUAGACAAACCUGCAUGCACACUGAAGUCUUCUGGACCUGAGUCUAACAUCUGAAAACAGAGUAGGAGGGCAGUGGCUACAAUGCUAAAUGCUAAAUAGCUUGAGUUGGAAAAAGCUAUCGGCUUGGGCAAUCUGGAAGACAAUGAAUAAAAGAGUAAUGAGCCAUGUUAUGGAGGUCAGAAGAAAAUAACCAUACUCCCUUGGCAAGUGCGGCUGUGGAGGAAGACAAGAACUAGGACAUAGUGAGAGGGAUAAGCUGAGGUUUUAUGCUGUUAUUUUAAUAGAUAUAGUUAGUUUGUAAAAAGGCUACUUAAGAUAGAUGAUAUGGGUCUAUUUCUGGCCAUAUACUCCCAAGAAAGGAGCCUAGCCUUCCCAGGAUCUCAGCCCACAUCGUGCAGCUCAAUGCCAGCAGGAUGAAGGGACUUCCUGGGACUAUCAUCUGGAAACUGGGCCCUUGGAUCUGCAGGAGCCUGCAAAGGCAGCAGGGUCUCUCUUUGUGUCCUUUGAACUAUUGUCAACAUCUCCCAAAACUUAACAGAAAUGUGAUUAGGCUGUGCAAGGCUGAUGACUCAAUGGCAGAUUUCUUUGCUUUUGGCUGGAAGUACAGCUACUCAGUGUGGCAACAUGAGCUAUCUCCCGCUGAUCUGAAGCUCUGAUUGCCAGUUAUAGAUGUCUUUGAUGAAUAAAAAAUGGGAAAGUGAAUUAAUUAUUACUCAUGAAAUGCAGAUUGUUUGGUAGACAAAUAUCUUUCAAACCUUGAGGCCCUUUGGGGAGGAUAAUGAAAGUAACCCUUGGCAAAGAGAAGGUUGAAGUUCGUGGAUCUAGGGGAGGCCUGGAAAACCCAACUCCAUAAUCAAUGAUAGCAAUAGUCUCUUUGUUUCUCUGUCCUACUCUUUCUUUGUCUCCAUGCUUGUCUGUCUGUCUGUCUCUCUCUUUCUGGGUUUCUUCCAGCCUUUCUGCCUUCCUAGACUCAGGUUUGUAGCUUUCUCUGCUUGUGCCUUUCUCAUUUUGUUCCCAUCUUUGGCCUCCCUGAUUCUAGGCAGGUCUCUUUCUUCGGUUUUUGUCUCCUUUCUAACUCUGUCUUGGUUUCUCGGGAUUCCUGACUAUUGGCAUCUCUCAUGGUCCCACAUCUUCUGGUUUCCCUGGUGUCAUUUAUCCUACGGUCUCUCUCUCUCUUUUUCUCUCUGUCUCUCUUCCCUUCUUGGCCUGCUAGUGGUUCCUAUGACAUUUUCUGCCUGUUUCCCACCAUCGAAGCCUCCCUGGUUCAGCGUCUUGCUGUCUAAAGGUGUUGUCAUAGUGUCUGGGGAGAUUCUUGUGAGUGGGGUAUCUUCCCUCCUGCCCCUUACUCCACUAGACAGGAAGCUCCAUGAAGCAGAGGCUUUGUCUUGCUCACUUCUGUCACUUCCAUGCCUGCAACAGCACCUGCCACAUAGAGGAGCUGGAUAAAACCCUGCUAACUGUCAGGCUCCAUGUCUCUUGGGGCCUCUGCUCUUGUUUUUAUUUGCCUACUAGGUCUCCAUGACUCUCAAGCCUCUCUCAUGGCCUCUGUCUCUGUCUUGUCUGUCCUGGGCUUUUUCUCUGUCUCUUAUGGUAUCUCCUUCUCCCUAAAUCUUGACUGUGUCUCUGUCUCACUGGCAUCUCCCUCGUGGUCUCCACAUCUCUCCUGUCUCAGCAGCAUGGACAGGCCAGACCCAGGGCAGAAACCGGGCCACUCCUGCCAGGCCUCGUGGCACGCACAGCCUCCUGCUAGGCCUUUCUCUAGGAUCCUCUAACAGAAACAACUAAAAGAGAAGAUGUGUUUGCUUGGAAGCAAACAGCAUCAGCCCUCCAGGCAGCAAAGGCUGCCUCUGAGUUGAUUCGUCCCCUUUUCUCCAGCCCAGUUGCUUUGACCAGUCAAGGGCUUUGAAGAGCCGCUCGGGCAGCAACUGCAGCAGACUCAUCCUUGGCUGCACGGAGGUGUGGGGGCCACUUUCUCAGCAAGUUCCCACCCUGUGUGCCCUGGAUCACAGACAGAUGGAGCUGCUCCUGGAACUAGCAGCCGUCUCUCCUGACUGAUGACUGCCUUGGCUUCAGUUAAGCAUACUGCAGGGGUCCAAGCCCUGAGGAGGGUCAGCCCUGGAGGAAUAAAACUGUAGGAUCUGAGCGUCUAUGCUGUCAAGGCUAAAAGUGUGAGAUUUAGAGUCACAUAAACUGGGUUAAAGUCCUAAUCCAAUCACUGACUUUAUGCCUCAGUUUUCACACCUGUAAAGUGGGAAUAGUAGCCAUUAUCUUGUAGGUGGAUAGUGAAUUCAGUGUGAUAAUACAUGAAGAGCACAAUGUCUGGACUAUGGUGAACACUCAGUAAAUGGCAGCUAUUGGAGAUGGAAGGCAGUGGGUAUACACAGGAGCUCCUUCUGCUGAAGAAGAAAGGCACGGGUGCUAACUCUGUGACAUCUGUUGAGUAUUUUGAGCAGCAAUGCAUCUAGAGUUAAAGGGUUCCAGAAGGGACGAGAGUUCCGUUUGGCCAUCUGGUCCAACCCCUUGCCUUCAGCAGAUGACUUUGCAAACCCCCCGGGGCAGAUGGUGGGUGUUCUCUUCUGGAAGUUCUCCAGGGGUAGACACCCCCAGCUCCCCUCCCUCACUCGUUUCUAGCUUUCCUUCCUUCACAGUCAAGAUGGGCUCCCUUAUGUUCCAUUUCAAAGCUUCUUGUCUUCACACAGGCCUGUUGGCUAUGGCACAUGCUUCACAGGCCUGGAGAAGAGCCCCUGUGGGUCAGCCUUUAAGGGAGGCCAUGCAAAGGGUAUGAUCCCCAGGCUGCAGCUGCAAUUUCUGAGGGGAGCCUUCACAGCCUCCCAUUUCAGCCAGGAAGUCAAAGAUGACACGUAGUCUGCAGUGCAGUGCAGAGCCAAAUACUCACUUGAAAAUAUCUCCACCUUUUCCAAUUUCCUGGAAAUUGACAAGUGUUUCCAGGACUUAGCUUUUGCAGCUGGGCCUGACUGGGCCCUACCUUUCUCUCCACAACCCUUGCUAAACCUGUGAAGUCACCACCUCCACCCACUGAGCCAGCUUACACGGUGGUUCUUCAACACCCCUGGGUCCACCUCUCUUGCCUCUUUGCUGUGGCCCUGUGCAUCCUGGCACUUGCAGAUGCUGGCAGAAUGGGAAGAGGGGUUUGAGUGUGACUUGCUUCCCCUCUCUGCUCCAGAUGACUCACCACCUGCCUUAGCUUUUCUCUUCCCAACGUUACAUAAUCCUGACUCCAGGAUUAAAAAUACUCCACUGAAUACCCCGUCCAUCUGUCAUAUUCUCUCUCUCUCUUCAUAUAUAUAUGUAUAUAUGAUCUUAUUUUAAAAAUACUCUGGAAAGAGCACUUCCAUCGUUCAUUUACAUCAUAUUAGAGAUGGAUUUCCGAGUCAGCACUGGCUUCCUCCAGAACAGCAGUCCUGGAGGAGCAAGAUCUCCCCAAGCCUCCAGGAUUGCAGUCUGUUUUGUGCCUUCACUCCCUAAUAGGUUUGCCUUAUUUAAAGGACCUAUCUUUAGAGCUGCCAAGGACUUUCUCAGAGCAGCUCCUUGGUCCCUCCAACAGCCUGGGUUGGCAUUUAUUCUGGGGGUUGGGUGUGGGGUGGUCCUCACCAGCAUGGGAGUAAGAGAAGGUGGUAAACUGGGUCCUCUGGCCUAAUUCAGGGCCCUGAGUCUAAUCUUCAGGAUGGGACCCCUGAGUUCUGCUCUGCUCCCACCUCUCAUGACUCUGCCUACCUUGUCUCAAUGUAUUAGGAAUCAUCCCUCAAUUGAUGGAGGGAAAGUGAAAGGGCUGAUAUCUGUUUUCCUUUUUGUGAUACAACCUGAGUGACACCUAGAGCUAGAAGUGACCAACACCCAAGAUCCAGCUUCACUCAUUCAUUCACUCCCUCAUUCUUUCUACACAUCCUUGUUGGGGGUUUACUGUGUGCUGGGUGGAUCAGACGAACAGUGCCUUCCAAGAGGGUGCAACUGAGGUAGGGGAGAAAGAUAAUGUACACCAGAUAAUUUAGAGUCGUGGGACAUGGGUUCGAGUCCAGUCUCUGCCAGAUGCCAGUUAUGUGUUAGUCAUCAGAGCUCAGAGCCUCAGUGGUCUCAUCUGUGCAAUGGGCACUCCUGGAGCUGGUACAACACUAAUGGGAGUGAAAGUGCAGUGACACUGGGCAGAAAUGUAUCAUUUGGUGUGCAAAUGCUUUCAAAGCCUGAGGU